AGUUCAGCGGUGCUUUUGGUUGUUGCUGUAACCGGAGGAAAUGAAAAAAAUGAAAAUCGUGAAUGUUCGUAGGAUCGUUGUUGGUGGUGGUUCACGUGAGAGAUGAAGGUUUAUGUUAUUUUAAAUGUUUUAAUUAAAACGUAAUAAUUAAAAACGUCAUAAUUAUAAUUAAUUAGUAUACCACUAUAUAGAAGUUACUAAUUUCUUAAUGCUUUUUCUAUAAUAAUUACACGU
rnacentral:lncRNA from 1 species